rnacentral:rRNA from 1 species
UAUGGCUGUNGUCAGCUCGUGUCGUGAGAUGUUGGGUUAAGUCCCGCAACGAGCGCAACCCUCAUUUUUAGUUGCCUUAUGGAACUCUAGAAAGACUGCCGGUUAUAAACCGGAGGAAGGCGGGGAUGACGUCAAGUCAGCAUGCCCCUUACACCCUGGGCUACACACGUGCUACAAUGGGCGAGACAAUGAGAUGCAAAUCUGCGAAGACUAGCUAAUCUAAAAACUCGUUUUAAGUUCGGAUUGUAGGCUGCAACUCGCCUGCAUGAAGUUGGAAUCGCUAGU